CUCACGGGCUGCCGUAGGUAAUGAGGGCAGACCAUAUAAAAGCUGGUAGGAUCAUUGUGUCAAUCAAUGACUUGAACUGUCAAGCUGUUUGGUAUGAAGAAAUCAACACUUAGUGUUCCCCAGUGAAAGCAGCGAGUUUUCACGGUGACUGUGGUGAUUCUGAAUCACCCGUAAAAGCAAAAUAAAAACGCCAAAUUCA